AUAAAUUUCAGACGAAAGACCUUGGUAAACUCCUAUAUUUUUUGGGUAUUGAGGUAGUCCAAUCUAAAGAUGAUAUGGUAAUUUCUCCGGAGAAAUAUGCUAUGGAUACUUUUGAAGAAACAAGUUUGUAGAAUGCUAAACCAGUUAAUACUCUUAUGGAUCCAAGUGUUAAAAUUCUACCAAAUUAGGGGGAGCUUCUAUAUGACUUAAAGAUGUAUAAGAUAUUAGUCGGAAAGUUAAAUUAUCUCACAGUGACUGUCCCAACAUUUCUUUUCUAGUAAGUGUGGUAAACUAGUUCUUAAAUUCUCCUUUCUAAGAACACAUGAACGCUAUUUUUUGGAUUCUGAGAUACAUCAAAGGGAAUAUUCCAGUUGAAAUAACAUCUAUCGAAUAAAUUUCAGACGAAAGAUCUUGGUAAACUCCUAUAUUUUUUGGGUAUUGAGGUAGUCAAAUCUAAAGAUGAUAUGGUAAUUUCUUCGGGGAAAUAUGCCAUGGAUACUUUUGAAGAAACAAGUUUGUAGAAUGCUAAACCAGUUAAUACUCUUAUGGAUCCAAGUGUUAAAAUUCUACCUAAUCAGGGGGAGCUUCUAUAUGAAUUAAGGAUGUAUAGGAUAUUAGUUGAAAAGUUAAAUUAUCUCACAGUCACACAUCCCAACAUUUCUUUUUCAAUUAGUAUGGUGAAGUAGUUCUUAAAUUCUCCUUUCUAAGAACACAUGAGCGCUAUUUUUUGGAUUCUGAGAUACAUUAAAGGUUCUCUAGGAAAAUGUCAUUUAUGAAAAUAAAGGACAUACUCAGAUAGUUGGAUAUCCUAACGCUGAUUGAAAAAACUCACCCAUUGUUAGACGAUUUAUCUCUGAGUAUUGUUUAUUUGUUGAAGGAAACCUAAUAUCCUAUAAAAGUAAGAAACAAAAUGUAGUUGCAAGAUCAAGUGCUGAGGUAGAAUAUAAGGUUAUGACACUAGUAACAUGUGAGGCCGUUUGGUUGAAUCAACUGCUCAAAGAACUUCAAUUUGAAAAAAUAAGACCAUGACACUUAUUUGUGAUAAUCAAAUUCCAUUAUGUAUUGUUUCGAAUCCAGGUUUCAUGAGAGGACCAAACAUUGUCAGAGAGAAGAUAGAAUCAAACGACAUUGUCACAAGUUUUGUCAACUCUAAUGAUCAAUUGGCAUGUGUUUACAAAAUCCCUACGAGAUCCUAAAACUAAUUAUAUAUGUGGUAAGCUUAGUGCAUUUAACUCAUAUGUUUAAAUUUGAGGGGGAGUGUUAAUAUUUGUAUAGAAAAUAUUCCAUUGAUUAUUUUUUAACCUAUCUAGAAUAUAAUAGAAUAUACCAUUGCAUAUUCCUUAUGUAAUUAAUAUAAUAUACCGUAUAAUACAAUCUUCGUAAUCUUAUUCAGACAUACUGUAUAUUCAAAUGUCCCUCAAUCUCAUAUUUCAACAAUUUGACUAUGAAAUUGUGAAGUUGUCAUGAUUUGUUGGAGGAUAUCUAAGGACGGUAUGUACGCUCUUGUCAUGAAUAGAUCAAAAUGAGUGUUGAGGUCAUCACAGGGAGAGCCAGCCGUUGAGGUUACAAAUGAAGGAGUUGAUGCUGCAGGGCAUACAAUUGGAACAUCUUUGGAGGUCGUGUUCAAACUUAGGAAGGUACCACACCUUUGCUAUGACCAUGUCAGUCUUGAGGUCUUUAGAGGUACCACACCUUUGCCGUGUCAUGCUAUGUUCAUGAGUAUGAUUAAACAGAAAGGAAAUGGUAGGAAGUUUGGUUUGCUGUGAUCGGUUCCAUGAGAUUUAGAAAGUGAUGCAGGGACGCCUUGGAUCAUGCUCAACAAGCUGCUAGAGUGUUCAAGAACAGAAGCAGCCUGCGGUCUACCCUAUUGGAAGCACCAUCCGUUCUUGAACCCAACUACGAGUGGAUGAGUGUCAUUGGCUCGAGGGCCUGCUGGAACAAUGGAAAUGGGCAAAGGGUGAAAAUGUUGGGUGACAACUGGUUCCUGGGUCAGGCUGAGUUUGAAGUGUGGAGUCCUGCCUCAACCCUAGUGAUUCGGUUGAUCGAAGAUGACGCAAACAAUGGAAAUUCUUAUGUUACUUCUUCUCAGCAACACACCGACCAAAAAACAACACCAGCUUCAACUUCAAGUAAUGAAACCAAAGGAGUUGAUGCUAAUCACCAUGCUAAAGUAUUUUAUAAACACACUUGGCCGGUGAUGAAAUUUGGGUAGAGAAUAAUAGUUGGUACCAUAAUUGGAUUUCUAGGAUCAUCAUUUGGAACUGUGGGAGGUGUUGGUGGAGGUGGCAUAUUUGUUCCCAUGCUUACUCUUAUUAUUGGAUUCGAUGCAAAAUCAGCAACAACAAUAUCAAAAUACUUGUUGGUCAAUGUCAGUUUUACUUGAUUGUCAGAGUCUUUGCAGGCAGUUACCACAACCUUGGUAUGCUCACAUCAUGAAUAUAUCAAAAUCAGUCUUAAAGUCAUUACAGGCUUCAAUGGAUCUCUACCUUCAAAGCACUAUGGAGGGUAUGUAACAAUAGAUGAAAGUCAUGGUAAGAACUUGUAUUACUAUUUUGUUCAAUCAGAAGGCGAUUCAUCAAAGGACCCUAUUGUUCUAUGGCUGAAUGGUGGACCAGGAUGUUCUAGUUUUGAUGGUUUUGUAUAUGAACAUGGUAAUAACUAUUUUUCACUAUCAUUUUCAUUUUGUAAUUGUUUCUCAAAUCAAAUAAAUGUAGAGUGAAAAUUCAUUUUAAUAUCCAAAACAAUUUUUUUGUAAUAUCUAAUCUAAUAUAUUAUAUAAACAAUGUGUUCCAUUGGUGAUGUGUUUCAGGUCCUUUUAAUUUUGACAAACCUGUCAAUGGAUCCUUGCCUAAGUUGCAUCUCAAUCCAUACAGUUGGUCCAAGUUUGGUCAUUUUUAAUAAUAAUAAUCAGAAAUUCAAUCUAUUAAAUUAGUAUUUGUAGUAUUUAAAAUAUAUGAUUUUAGUCUAAAUAUUAGACAAAACAUUUUGAAUCAUUUUUAAUGUGUUUUCUUGCAGGUUUCCAACAUUAUAUAUUUGGACUCACCCGUUGGAGUAGGAUUUUCGUAUUCGAAAAAUACAUCUCAGUACGAAACUGGAGAUGAAAAGACUGCGACUGAUUCACAUACUUUUCUCCUCAAAUGGUUUGAAUUAUAUCCUGAGUUUCUU